GCCUGGGUGGCUCAGUCGGUUGAGUGUCUGACUUCGGCUCAGGUCAUGAUCUCACGGUUUGUGGGUUCGAGCCCCGCGUCGGGCU
rnacentral:tRNA from 1 species